rnacentral:rRNA from 1 species
CCUACGGGAGGCAGCAGUAGGGAAUAGUGCUCAAUGGGGGAAACCCGGAAGCAGCAACGCCGCGGGGAGGAUGAAGGUUUUAGGAGUGUAAACGCCUUUUGGGAGAGAAGAGAAGGACGGUAACUCAAGAAUAAGAACCGGCCAACUCCGUGCAAGCAGCCGCGGGAAUACGGAGGGGGCAAGCGUUACGCGGAAUCACGGGGCGUAAAGAGUGCGGAGGCGGGGUGGUAAGUCAGAUGUGAAAUCCUGUAGCUGAACUACAGAACUGCAUUUGAAACUAUGAGUCUAGAGUGUGGGAGAGGUAGGUGUAAUUCUUGGUGUAGUGGUCUAAUCCGUAGUUUUCCCGCGUACUCCUCAUUGCGCAGGCGACCUACUGGACCAUUCCUGACGCUCAUGCACGACAGCGUGGGGAGCAAACCGGAUUAGAUACCCGUGUCGUC